rnacentral:rRNA from 2 species
UAGAGUUUGAUCAUGGCUCAGGAUGAACGCUAGCGGGAGGCCUAACACAUGCAAGCCGAGCGGUAGAUUGCUUUCGGGCAAUUGAGAGCGGCGCACGGGUGCGGAACACGUGUGCAACCUGCCUUUAUCUGGGGGAUAGCCUUUCGAAAGGAAGAUUAAUACCCCAUAAUAUGUUGAAUGGCAUCAUUCGACAUUGAAAGCUCCGGCGGAUAGAGAUGGGCACGCGCAAGAUUAGAUAGUUGGUGAGGUAACGGCUCACCAAGUCAAUGAUCUUUAGGGGGCCUGAGAGGGUGAUCCCCCACACUGGUACUGAGACACGGACCAGACUCCUACGGGAGGCAGCAGUGAGGAAUAUUGGACAAUGGGUGAGAGCCUGAUCCAGCCAUCCCGCGUGAAGGACGACGGCCCUAUGGGUUGUAAACUUCUUUUGUACAGGGAUAAACCUUUCCACGUGUGGGAAGCUGAAGGUACUGUACGAAUAAGCACCGGCUAACUCCGUGCCAGCAGCCGCGGUAAUACGGAGGGUGCAAGCGUUAUCCGGAUUUAUUGGGUUUAAAGGGUCCGUAGGCGGAUCUGUAAGUCAGUGGUGAAAUCUCACAGCUUAACUGUGAAACUGCCAUUGAUACUGCAGGUCUUGAGUAAAUUUGAAGUGGCUGGAAUAAGUAGUGUAGCGGUGAAAUGCAUAGAUAUUACUUAGAACACCAAUUGCGAAGGCAGGUCACUAAGAUUUAACUGACGCUGAGGACGAAAGC